GGGGGCGACAGGUUUCGACGGGUUUGAUGAGGGUGUUGCUGCGUGCCGAGGUCGUCAGUCACCUCGAAAAACAACUGGCACUUUUUAACUGCCAACACUGAGUUGGCCCUGGCUGCGUAAGCUUCGGCUUACGCACCUGCGUGAGUGGCAGCCCGCCUGAGGCGGCGCUCACGUAUCGCAAAGUCGGGCUGGUGUGACCCGGGGCCCGAACGGGUUGCGCGAGAGUUGUAAAAGGGCUUGUUGCUGCCGGGGCCGGCGAGGCGCCACGGUAGUGAGACUCAAAAAGCGUCGCCUACGCACGUAGGAGCGGCAUCGGAGUCAGAUUCGGACCGGGGUUCGAUUCCCCGCGCCUCCAUUG
rfam:Gemmatimonadetes bacterium 13_1_40CM_4_69_5 13_1_40cm_4_scaffold_8285, whole genome shotgun sequence.